GCAUGAGGCGCUGCACGUCUCCAUGUGGGAGGGAGAUGGGAGGUGGCUUCCAGCCUCAGCCCUCCCUUGCCUUCAGCCUUCCCACUGCCCUCCUCUUCUCCAGCCUGGAGCAGUGGCCUUGGGAUUGUGCCAGGCAGUGAAAAGCACCCAUGGCCUGGGGGCAGUAACAAGGGUUGCUGUGAGACCCCAGCUGGGCACCAGAUCCCAAGGAGGUGGGUGAGAGCAGAAGGUGAGUGAGAGCAGGUGAGGCACAGAGACAAGCUAUGUUUCCCAGGUUGCACAGCUGGCGAGAGACAGAGCUGGGAAUGGAAGCCAGCCCCGUCUUUGCCUGGCACCCAGGGGCACUCAGCAAAUGUUUACAGACUGAUUGGCAGUGAAUAAACAAGGAGCUUCCAUGUAAGAAAUCUGCCACUCCUGAGACCACCAUGCUGUGAGGAAGCCCCAGCAAGCCUGGUGGAGAAGCCACUUGAAAAGAGAUGCCCAAGAACCCCCAACUGUUCUAGCCAUCUCAGGUUAGGUGCCAGACAAGUGAGAGGACAUGCCCACUCAGUUGGUGCAGCACCAGCAGGCUCCACAAGGAGCAGAAGAACCACUCAGCUGAGCCCAGCCCAGAUGACAGAAUUACAGAAAAUAAUAAAUUGGUGUUGUUUUAAAUGAUUACAUUUGGGGUUUGUUAUGUGGUAAUGGAUCACUGAAACCUCCCUUCAACCUGAGUCAUCAGAUCUCCCUUAGUCUGCUUUAUUUUUCUUGUAACUAACUUCCAACUAACAAGCCAUUUAGUUCCUUCUUUAUUCCUUGUGUUUCUUGGCUCCCCCUGUUAGAAUGUGUGCUCCCUAAGGACAGGGUCUUUGCCACUUUGUUCCACCUAUACCAGAGCCUGGCUCAUCCUUGAUAUUCAAUACAUAUUUACUGAAGAAGUGUUCAAUGGCUCUGCACAGUUAUACACAAUACAUAGCAAAAAUGGUUUAUGCCACAUUUUAUCAAAAUACGCUUGGCUAAAUCCUGGAGCGGCACUGGUGUUGUGAAAGGUCCCACACCAUGGGAGCACUUGGGAACUGAGGGAAUAGGCUCUCAUCUCUGUUUCACACCCACUGGGGGUACACUCUCAUGGAGGGAAGGAAGAGCAAGCAAAACCACCCACAUAAUUCAAGUGGCAAGUGUGGAUUAUUUUCUCUUAUUUUCUUCUAUAGAGCAGAUACUGUUUAGGUUAUUUUAAUGUAUGUACAAUGUGUCUUCAUUCUAUAUAUGCAGAUGAAAAUAUAGAAAAGAACUUUAUAUGCCCAGAUAUUGUACCCAUCCAGCCUUCUUCCUUGGAAAUUUCCUUUACUUCCAGCUUCCCUGGGUUCUUCAGUGGUAAUUGUCUUCCAGGCCUGCUGGGAGGGCCAAGCUUGAUGUUGAUGAAAGAACUGGAGCUCCCCAAUCACAUGCAUCACCCGGCAGCUUGCUAAAAAUGCAGCUGCCCAGGGCCCACCCCCUAAACAUUCUGGUUUUGUAUUUCUGGGGUGGAACCUGGGAAUCUGAAUUUCGGACAUAUUCUAGGUGUUAUUUCAGAGCAGUAGACUUUCGGGGGAUGGGUGUUCUCUCAUGAAUUCUAACUCUGCCUGGCGAUGCUUUCAUUCAUUUUCGAGAGCUGCUAUAACAAACUACUACAAACUGUGUGGCUUAAAACUGCAGAAAUGUAUUCUCUCACAGUUCUGGAGGUUAGAAGUUUAGAAAUCAAUUUCACUGUGCCAAAAUCAAGGUGGCUUCAGGGCUGUGCUCCCUGCAGAGGGUCUAGGGCAGAAUCUGUUCCUGGCCUCUUGCAGCUUCUUGUGGCUGCUGGCACUCUAUGGCAUGUGGCCGCAGCACUCUGAUCCCUGUAUCUAUGACCACAUCGUCUUUUCUUCUCUGCCAAAUCCCCUUUGCAUUAUAAGGACACUUGUGAUGACAAUUAGGGCACACUUAAAUAAUCCAGAAUGAUCUGUCCAUCACAAAGUUCUUAGCUUGGCCACAUCUGCAAAAUCCCUUUUGCCAUAUAAAGUAUCAUUCACAUGUUUAAGGGCUUAAGACCCAGAUUAUCUUUUGGGGCCAUUACUUGGCCUAAUACAACUCUUUUCCCCAUUCCUCAGGAAGAACAAUGGCUCAGAGAAGCUAAGUGACUUUCCCAAGGCCACACAGCUAUACAGAGACCCAGUUUGAAUUCACCUUCAUCUACACCACAAUCAAUUCAAAUGUGACUGAAUUUAUAACCCCAAGUUAUUUUUGUGCAAGAUUUCAAAGAUCAUGCAAGCUGCAUAUAGUGAUGGGAUAAUUCACAGUAAAGGCUGAUUGAGAUCACGCAUUAUCAGGAAAUAAAAGAUAUUUUCAUUUUCAAUAAAACAAUAUGGACACCAAAAGUAAUUACCCACCCACCCUCAAAAACAAAAAUCAUCAUUACAAAGGGACUAAUGCUUCCUACCCUUGGACGAAGUGAAGGAUCAUAUUCCGACCAGUGUACAUGUAGCUGACUCUUGAGAAAGAGAUGCCUAUCUCCAGGGUUCACAUUUCACCCAAUUCUUGCAGGGCCAUGUGAAGUUAGAGCUAAUUUUGGUAAUCACCCCAUCUUAAUAACAUGUUCUACAAUCUUGGGCAGUUACUCAGAGAAGCAGCCAAAAAUAAAUAAAUAAAUAAAUAAAUGAUAAAAAGAGAAAGAGAAAAAAGCAGAAGGCUUAUAUACUAGCACCACUGUCCACCCCAAUCAGCUCUACCUUCAAGAAAGUAAAAAAAGGUGAGAUAGCCCCCUCCAUAAUACUGAAGGAGGCUAAGGAUUUCUGUGCCCACUUAAGACCAUCUAUGGUUUUCAUUUUAACUUGAUUUUGUCUACAUAAAAAUGCUGAGGGACAGAUGUGUUGGUGGCAUGCAUGGUUUUCUGAGCCUGGCAGUCUCCAGGGCACAUGGUAGCUAACUUGAGCAUGUAUCUUCUAUGUUCCAGAACCUACUAUAAUAUCUCACAAAAGCUACAAUGUUUUUAGCUACAAGAAACAGCAUAUACAUACAACAACCAGACUAAACGAUGAAGGGAAUUUGUUGAUGUAAGAUCUGAAAAUCUUGGCAGUUAGAAAGGGCUUCAGGAAAGGCUUGAUUCAGCAUCUCCACAGUUAUCAACAAGGCCCAGUUUCUUCCAUGUCUCCAUCGUUCCCUGCACUGUGUUGGCUUCAUCCACAGGCUCAUUCCCCUCUGAUCACAAAGUGGCUGCCAGCAGCAGUCUGGGCUGCAUUCUUCAUCUUUCACAUCCAGUGAGGAUGAAGUAUCAUCGUCAUCUGAGGUAAUAUCCAAGGUUCGUUCCCUCAUGCCAAGGAAAUCAAGGAUGUGGACACACAAGGAGUGAGGUUAAGAGCAGAUGUUUAAUAGGUGAAAGAAAGAGAAAAGCUCUCUCUACUGCAGAGAGUGGGCUCCCGAGUGGGUCUUCCAGUCUGUGGCAAACUGCAGGAGGUUUUACAGAUGAGCUUGAGGGGGUGGUGUCUGAUUUACAUAGGACACAAAGGAUUGGUUGUACCAGGCAGGCCAUUUGCGUAGCAAGGGAAGAACUGGUUUGGACUAGGUGUGCCAUUUGCAUAGCUUGUGAAGAAGCUGGCUUCCCCACCCUAAUCUUUUAUUAUGCAGAUGGAUUCUCUACCUGGCUGAUGCCAUGUUGCCUGCUUCCUCACUGUGCACGUGGAGCCUGAGGAGAAUGUUUCAAGGAAGAGGGAACAAGCAAGUCAGCAUCUGGAGGAACAGGGAUGUGAAUAGGGAUGCAGGGAAUCGAAGAAUGAUUCUGUCUUAUCCCAAUAAAGGGUCAUUUGGGGUAUUAACCUAUAAACACAGACAAUUAAAUGGAUGCAUAUACAUACAUAAAUAAAUACAGAAAACCCACCUAUAUAAUUAAGGGCAGACGACCUUGUAGAAGGAAGUUAAAUUAUAGCUCCAGAUAACCACCUGGAAUAUCUUUUUUCCUCCCCCCUUCUUUUUGACAUUGCUGUUUAAACCUGUCUCCCUUCCCCUCCCCCUACAGAGAAACUUGCUGUGGAGUGAAUCUUCACACGACAAUUGGUGAUCAAUUAUCAAAGAGUUGACACCGAGGUCCAGUAGGAUGGAGGCUCCAUUUCAGAGGCAGUGUGGCAAGCACUUGUGGGUGCUAAGUGUUUAUAUCAGGCUCAGUUUUUGUGCACCCAGUACUCAACGUUUCAAUGGUACCUUUGCACACCUCCUGUUGCCUAUGGCUCAUCUUUCAGCUCACUGACCAAUAGCCGAAACUUAAUACUUUAAGGGAGAAGAAGAACUAAACCUGGAUAAUGAGUGGGGGCUUUACAAAAUUCCUGAUGUUUCAACCCUACCACAAACAAAUUAAAUUUGUUUUUCUGGCAAAAAGGCUGGAACAUCA